UAAGCACGAAACUUGCCCCGAGAUGAGUUCUCCCUGAGACUUUAAGUCUCCUGAAGGAACGUUGAAGACGACGACGUUGAUAGGCCGGGUGUGUAAGCGCAGCGAUGCGUUGAGCUAACCGGUACUAAUGAACCGUGAGGCUUAACCUUACAACGCCGAAG
rnacentral:rRNA from 1 species